GUGCUUGCUUCGGCAGCACAUAGACUAAAACUGGAAUGAUACAGAGAAGAUGCACCUGGCCCCGUGCACCUGGCCCCACGCACAUUCGUGAAGUGGUUCAUAUUUUU
rnacentral:snRNA from 1 species